rnacentral:miRNA from 1 species
UGGCAACUCUGUCUGCACCAGG